AACGAACGCUGGCGGCAUGCCUAACACAUGCAAGUCGAACGAGACCUUCGGGUCUAGUGGCGCACGGGUGCGUAACGCGUGGGAACCUGCCCUUAGGUUCGGAAUAACUCCCCGAAAGGGGUGCUAAUACCGGAUAAUGUCUUCGGACCAAAGAUUUAUCGCCUUUGGAUGGGCCCGCGUUGGAUUAGCUAGUUGUUAGGGUAAAAGCCUACCAAGGCGACGAUCCAUAGCUGGUCUGAGAGGAUGAUCAGCCACACUGGGACUGAGACACGGCCCAGACUCCUACGGGAAGCAGCAGUGGGGAAUAUUGGACAAUGGGCGAAAGCCUGAUCCAGCAAUGCCGCGUGAGUGAUGAAGGCCUUAGGGUUGUAAAGCUCUUUUACCCGGGAUGAUAAUGACAGUACCGGGAGAAUAAGCCCCGGCUAACUCCGUG
rnacentral:rRNA from 1 species